rnacentral:misc_RNA from 1 species
UGACCAACUCACCGUAAUGGUGGUCUUGGGGAUGGCUAACUAGCCUCCCUUAAAAUCAGUGGCGGUGCUGUCAAGCUCUAAGCGUAGUAAUUUUCUCGCUAUAGCGUCUUAAUGGUGACUUGCCAUAACCCCAACUCUUUUAA